rnacentral:tRNA from 1 species
AGGAUUAUAAUUUAAAUAAAAAUAUUUAAUUUGCAAUUAAAAUUUAUUGAUCUAUCAAUUUAUCUUA